rnacentral:rRNA from 1 species
GACGAACGCUGGCGGCGUGCUUAACACAUGCAAGUCGAACGGAAAGGCCCUGCUUUUGUGGGGUGCUCGAGUGGCGAACGGGUGAGUAACACGUGAGUAACCUGCCCUUGACUUUGGGAUAACUUCAGGAAACUGGGGCUAAUACCGGAUAGGAGCUCCUGCUGCAUGGUGGGGGUUGGAAAUUUUCGGCGGUUGGGGAUGGACUCGCGGCUUAUCAGCUUGUUGGUGGGGUAGUGGCUUACCAAGGCUUUGACGGGUAGCCGGCCUGAGAGGGUGACCGGCCACAUUGGGACUGAGAUACGGCCCAGACUCCUACGGGAGGCAGCAGUGGGGAAUAUUGCACAAGGGGCGGAAGCCUGAUGCAGCAUCGCCGCGUGCGGGAUGACGGCCUUCGGGUUGUAAACCGCUUUCGCCUGUGACGAAGCGUGAGUGACGGUAAUGGGUAAAGAAGCACCGGCUAACUACGUG